rnacentral:rRNA from 1 species
CUCGCACAAGCGGUGGAGCAUGUGGUUUAAUUCGAUGCAACGCGAAGAACCUUACCUGGUCUUGACAUCCACAGAAUUUCGCAGAGAUGCGGAAGUGCCUUCGGGAACUGUGAGACAGGUGCUGCAUGGCUGUCGUCAGCUCGUGUUGUGAAAUGUUGGGUUAAGUCCCGCAACGAGCGCAACCCUUAUCCUUUGUUGCCAGCGGUUAGGCCGGGAACUCAAAGGAGACUGCCAGUGAUAAACUGGAGGAAGGUGGGGAUGACGUCAAGUCAUCAUGGCCCUUACGACCAGGGCUACACACGUGCUACAAUGGCGCAUACAAAGAGAAGCGACCUCGCGAGAGCAAGCGGACCUCAUAAAGUGCGUCGUAGUCCGGAUUGGAGUCUGCAACUCGACUCCAUGAAGUCGGAAUCGCUAGUAAUCGUGGAUCAGGAUGCCACGGUGAAUACGUUCCCGGGCCUU